rnacentral:rRNA from 1 species
AACGAACGCUGGCGGCAUGCCUAACACAUGCAAGUCGAACGAGACCUUCGGGUCUAGUGGCGCACGGGUGCGUAACGCGUGGGAACCUGCCCUUAGGUUCGGAAUAACUCCCCGAAAGGGGUGCUAAUACCGGAUAAUGUCUUCGGACCAAAGAUUUAUCGCCUUUGGAUGGGCCCGCGUUGGUUUAGCUAGUUGGUAGGGUAAAAGCCUACCAAGGCGACGAUCCAUAGCUGGUCGGAGAGGAUGAUCAGCCACACUGGGACUGAGACACGGCCCAGACUCCUACGGGAGGCAGCAGUGGGGAAUAUUGGAAAAUGGGCGAAAGCAUGAUCCAGCAAUGGUGGGUGAGCGAUGAAGGCCUUAGGGUUGUAAAGCUCUUUUACCCGGGACGAUAAUGACAGUACCGGGAGAAUAAGCUCCGGCUAACUCCGUG